GGAAAGAUUGCUCGAAGAAUCGGACAGGCGUGCACAACAUCAGUCAUAUUCAAAGCUGCAGGAUGCCGAGGAGAAAGAUGAGGAGAUUGAGAAAAUAGCAGUUGAUGAGCCCUCUACUCCAAAGGAGGAUUUUAGCAUCCCUCAUAUUUCUGCUGCUAUAGAGCAUGUUUCUAUUCCUGCUCCUCCCAGGUCCAACUACAAGCUUGCUGCUCCAUUCCCCUACUGCUUG
rnacentral:lncRNA from 1 species